rnacentral:lncRNA from 1 species
GACCUGUAAUGUUAUUUUUCACAAAAUUUGAUUUUUCAUGCAUGAAAUUUUUUCCAAGUUGUUUCCAAAUACUUUUAUGCUUCCUAUGCUAAGAUGCACAUAGAGAAUCAAAGGAUAUUGUCCAAUAUACAUUAAUGCUAAAGUAUCAUAGUUUUGACAUCAUACAAAAUACAUCUAACGGAAGUUGCACUCACACUAUUACUCUCAAAAUAGUUGAUAUAAGCAUGUUCCAUCAUCAAGGAAAGAUGAAGAUGUGUUGGUACGAGUUGACAAGUUUCUGUUCCCAAUGGAAUUUAUUAUCAUGGACUUCAAUGCUGAGGAAGAGACUCACAUCUUGUUGGGAAGACCCUUCUUGCUACUAGAAGAACCUUGAUAGAUGAAGAAUGAUGAGAAUUAACCAUGAGAGUCAAUGGACAACAAGUUGUAUUUAAUGUGCUGGAUACAUUACAAUAUCAGGAAGAAGAAGUAGUUGAUUGUUGAAUGAUCUCAAGUUGGGAAAUAUCAUUCAUAAAAAUCUUCUCAAAAGCAAUAACAUAUUGGAGCAAGAGGGCAAGUUGAAUAAAGAAGAUGAAAGGAAAAGGAAGAAAUUAUAAGUGGACCACUAGUCAAGUUAAAUGAGAAAGAGGAACCUAUGAAAAUUUUGGAGCUUACAUCUGAAGUGAAGAAAACUAACACUACAUCAGUGGAGGUUCCUCUUGAGUUGGAAAUUAAGUAAUUGUUUGCUCAUUUAUAGUAUGCCUAUCUGGAGGCAUGACAUAAGUCUCCAGUCAUCAUUGCCAUUGAUCUAUCUGAUGAACAGAGGUGUCAGCUCCUGUCACUUCUGAAAAGGCACAAGGAGGUUAUUGGUUGGAAAAUAUUUGAUAUUAAGGGCAUCAGUCAUACUGUAUGCAUGCAUAGGAUAUUAAUAUAUAAGAUAACUCUAAGAAUAUUAUGGAAAUCCAAAGAAGGUUAAAAUCCAUCAUGAAGGAACUAGUCAAGAGGAAAUUAUAAAGUGGCUGGAUGCUAAAAUCAUUUGCCUUACUUUUGAUAGUGUCUGGGUGAGUCGCAUCCAAUGUGUUCAAAAGAAGGGUGGCAUGAUAGCCAUCGCCUAUAAGAAAAAUGAACUUAUUCCUUUAAGAACUGACAUUGGCUGGAGGAUAUCCAUGUAUUAUAGGAAGCUGAACAAAGCCACACGCAAAUACCAUUUCCCUUUUCCUUUCAUUGACCAAAUUUUGGAUAGACUAGCUGGUAAGGAGUUAUAUUGUUUCCUUGAUGGUUACUUGGGAUACAAUAAAAUUGCCAUUGCACCUGGAGAUCAAGAGAACACAACUUUUACAUGUCCUUAUGGAACCUUUGCUUUUAGAAGAAUGUCAUUUGGAUUAUGUAAUGCUCUAGCAACUCUUCAAUGUUGCAUGAUGCCAAUAUUCUCAUAAUUGAUAGAAAGUUCCAUAGAGGUUUUCAUGGAUGGUUUUUCCGUUUUUGGGGAGUCAUUCCAAAACUGCUUGGACAGCCUGGAUAUGUUGCUUACCAGAUGCAAAGAAAGUAAUCUUGCAUUGAAUUGGGAGAAGUAUCAUUUCAUGGUAAAUUAAAGAAUUAUUUUGGGGUAUAAAAUUUCAAAGAGGGGGUUGGAGGUGGACCAAGCCAAAGUGGAAGUAAUAGAGAAACUGCCUUCACUUGUCAACAUCAAGGUAAUCAGAAGUUUCCUUGGUCAUGUUGGAUUUUAUAGAAGAUUCAUCAAAGACUUCUCCAAGAUAAAAAAAAACCUCUAUGUCAGCUACUCCAGUGUAACGUGUCAUACGUCUUUAGUAAGGAGGGUGAGAAUGUGUUCAAGUUGUUAAAAAAAGUUUUAAUCUUUGCACCUAUAAUGAAGAUCCUAGUCUGGACUAAACCUUUUGAGUUGAUGUGAGAUGCUAAUGACAUUACUAUUGGAGUAGUGUUGGGACAAGGGCACAAUAGGUGUUCCAGACUAUUUACUAUGCUAGUAGGACAUUGAUUGAAGCACAAAUCAACUAUACAACCACUGAAAAAGGAAUAUUUAUUGUUGUGUUUGCAUUUGAAAAGGAACACGCUCAGGAAGAUGAGCAAAUGUCAUACGUGAACCACAAGCCAACCAUCUCGAGUAUAACACUAUGUCGGCGAAUGGCCGUGUCUCAUGUUGAUCGACAUAGGAUAAAAUUCAUAUCCUCUUCCACCAAACGAUCAAGAUACACUCAAAACGGCUAUGUCACCCGGUUCUCUCUUAGUAGGGAAAAUGCAGAAGCACGCAACAUAUCUUCAGUAUAGGUCGGUACACACGACCAACCGAAAAUGUGUGGGAAGUGCUGGAGGAUUCAAGUCUGAAAAGUGUUGGAACACACAAAUCAUUAGUAAGGGAGUUACAAAAAUGACACACAAACACUAAAAGACCAAUAAAUAUUAUCGUCAAAAGUGUGAUGCUUACUAUCACCUACUUUGUCUUCCACCUAUAGCCCUCAUAUAACUUAGAGUACAAGUAGACCAAACAACCCCCCCCCCCCCCCCCCCNGCCCCCAAGUUGUACUCAUGGAUCCGCUCAAAAUCCUUAGUGUUGUUGUGUUUGUAUUUCAAUACCUAAUCAUCAAUUUCUACAAAUUUAUACAAAAAUUAAAAAAAAUUUACAAUAAUAAAAAACAUACAAUAAGUGGGGAAUCUUUGAAAUUGAUAUAGUUGAAUGAGAUCUUUGAUGUCGUCUGGUGAUGAUUGAAGAAGCUUUGGUGUUGCUUGAUUGAUUUUGAGUCAAUGUGAUUUUGAGAGAGUUUUAGAGAAAACUUUAUUUUUUAAACAAAUGAAGAAGAAGGGUUCAGGUGUGUUAUGUACAAGCAGCGUUCAGAGAUGCAUCUACAU